AUCAGCCUUUCGGGUGCGAUUCUGUGGGGUUUGAGGAGCUUAACACCUUCAUGCUUUGCAUAUUCGUGCUCUUGGGUGUACUUGCCUGUGUGGUUGGUUAACAUCAAUUUUGGUGGUCAUAAAAUGACUGGAGGAAUGUAGCUUCGAUCUUGUAUUGAAGUGUUAUAGCCUUCGGUAGAUGUGAUGAUCGAGAUUGAGGAUUGCAACGGAUACCCUUCGGGGCUACCUGUCUGAUCUCUGAUCGUUGCUCUGGUGCCGAAAGCUUGCUUACGGUUAUCAAAGUCGAUGGUCAAUAGGUUAGAACGGGUUAAAUUCGUUAAGGAUGUUGACGUAAUGGCUUU
rnacentral:rRNA from 1 species